GUUUCCUACGGGACGCAGCAGUGGGGAAUAUUGCACAAUGGGGGAAACCCUGAUGCAGCAACGCCGCGUGAGUGAAGAAGUAUUUCGGUAUGUAAAGCUCUAUCAGUAGGGAAGAAGAAAGACGGUACCUGACUAAGAAGCCCCGGCUAACUACGUGCCAGCAGCCGCGGUAAUACGUAGGGGGCAAGCGUUAUCCGGAUUCACUGGGCGUAAAGGGAGCGCAGGCGGCACGGCAAGUCUGGUGUGAAAGCCCGGGGCCCAACCCCGGGACUGCAUUGGAAACUGCCGGGCUGGAGUGCCGGAGG
rnacentral:rRNA from 1 species